GACGUAGGAUGCGAGCGUUGUUCGGAUUUAUUGGGCGUAAAGCGUACGUAGGCGGUCCGGUAAGUGGGAGGUUAAAGACCAGAGCUUAACUCUGGGAGUGCCCCCCAAACUGUCGGACUAGAGGAUCAUAGGGGAAGGUGGAAUUCCGAGUGUAGCGGUGAAAUGCGUAGAUAUUCGGAGGAACGCCAGUGGCGAAAGCGACCUUCUGGGUGACACCUGACGCUGAGGUACGAAAGCAUGGGGAGCAAACAGG
rnacentral:rRNA from 1 species